rnacentral:rRNA from 1 species
CAUGCAAGUGGUUACACUAACCCGACAGUUUAAAUAAGUGUUCAAUGCUUUUUCCCAUAUAUGAUAUAUACGGUCUAUUCGUUCCCCCACACACACACACCCGUGCUGAACUUAGAUUCCAACAUAUAUAUAUAUAUACACACAUUAAGUGAAUCACUGAAUUCUCAAUAUCACUUACGCAACUGCAGACWGCUGCUUAAUACACUCACACUUGUCUUGACUUGGCAUACGCGCAAUGCAUGAAUAUAUACAUUACGUUUCGACUAUUUUCAUAAUUGCUCCUUUCGCCUAUGCACUUUACAUGGUCUUCCGUGUCGAGUGUAUCUGCACCGGGGGUAUUUUCUGAAAUGCGUCAAAUGUAUUCCUAUUGAAAUGCAAUGCACGGCUUACCUACACACACACAUACACACACUGUGAUUUCUCUGUUUCGCUUAUCUUUAUUUCAAAGAUUGCUACGCGUUACACCGUGACAACUUCUUUUAUUUAUGGAUAACUCAGGGAAAGUUUGGCUAAUACGUACGAGUAUUUACACACACACACACACACACACUCUCACACAGUGUAUAUAUAUAUUGGGUGGUGCAUAUAUUCUCUCACACAUCGUGUGUGUAAUCACAACACUAUAUAUAUGACUCYCUCUACUCAGCACWCAAGUGGRAGACUUKUGGUGUACACGCGGGGGCGUGACCGCAGUACAUGUAUUCUCACCACAUGAGAGACAGAGAGCGCGCGCGUGUUUUUGCUCUCUCGGGAUCAUAGUCACACACACGCAGAGCAGACUGUGAGAUGUAUUUUUUGAGCAGCAUGUCAUACAAGCAUCUACAGCAUCAAGUCACAGGGUUGGCAAGUGUAUUUUUGAACCUUCAAAGCAGUCACGCAUACGGAAGAGUAGUUUCUGAUCCCAUAGAAGGAGCACCGUACAAAGAGAGACCGCUCUUAGUUUCUAAGAAGRAACGCCGCAGGCGCGUAAAUUUGCCCAAUGCUAGUACCCUACAAUUAUAUAUUGAUUAUUAUUAUGCAUUAUGCGCAAAUUUACAACAUACAUUAUGCAAAUCAUUGUAACACUACACACAUACACACCCUUUUUACUCUGUCAUCAUCAUACAUAGCAUAUCCUUGUUCGUUGUUUAUUUCAGCAUUAAAGCGUAUAUAUUAUUAACACCAUUAUAUACAUUCACUUUUUUACUGAGGCAGUGACAAGCUGUAACGGUUGAGUAUUUAAAUGACGAGUGUCUGGCAUUGCCGCUCUUUCGGGAGCUUGGCAAGUUGCCGACGCUUUGUGUGCUCAAUUGGAAUGCGGUGAGUUUAAGCAACUCAGAACCUUUGGACGGUGUUAUUCUCUGCAAUUUCACUGUUCAUGUAUCUGAAUUUCAAGUGGAGGGCAAGUCUGGUGCCAGCAGCCGCGGUAAUACCAGCUCCACUGGCCUAUACAAUCAUUGUUGCGGUUAAGAGGCUCGUAGUUGGAUUGAACUGCCAUGAAGAAUGAAUCUUAACACCUUUCUACUCUUUGUGUCAACAGUUUUACGUAUAUGUUUUGGGCUUAUAGUUCAUUUCAUAUACGUUCGACGCUGUUAUAAGAAUUUUGCUUACGCAUAUACGAUUUUUACACGGCACGUUAGCAUACACGCGUAUAUACAACCUACACAUACACACCCACAUUUCGUUGUAUAUACCGUGUGUGACACACGCAGCACUUAAUUUCAGAAAUGUCUUUUCGUUUGCAUUUGUGUGUGAGACACACUUUGGAGCAUUUAUUCUCAUUUCAACACUGUGAACAAAUCAGAGUGUAUCAAACAUGUCGUUUUUGAAUGUGCAUUGAAUGUCUUAUCAUGGGAUGUUGCGCACUUUCAGCCUUUUAGAAAGAAGCCUCUCAGCUUUUUUCUCUCUCUCACUCACACAUACACACACACACACACACAUCGUGAGGAGGCAAAUACUAUAAGCGUAUCUUUUUUUCUAAAACGGUUAAAAAUGUCGAUGGGGAUAGUUGGAGUCAACAGUACUGCUGGGCGAGAGGUGAAAUUCAUUGACCCUAGCAAGACUACCAAAAGCGAAAGCAGUUGGCUAGGCUAUACUCUUUGUGAUUGUAUUACGCUAUUAGUAUCUCUCACACACACACACACACACACAUGUGGUAACACUAAUUAUGCGUAUAUACAUUACACUUUACAAUGAAGAACGAAGGUUGGGGGAUCAAAGAGGAUCAGAUACCCUCGUCGUCCCAUUUUUUACAUCAAACGAUGGGCUCUCAAUUGCAAUUUCUAUAUAGAAUUGUAAAUUUCCUCAAACUGCAAAAUAACUUGGCUUGAGCUCGUAUCAUUCUUGAUACGCUCGCCUCACUUUUUUCGUACGGUCUCGACGGACGUUUCAUUUUAUCAUUUUCUUUGCGUGUAAGCAUUAUGUAUUUAUUCCUUGAAACAUAGGAAUUACAUUGCGUGCACUUGAUUUUCGGAGCUUUGCGCUCAAAUUUCUGGUGAGAUGUAAGCACUGUGUUUCUCUGCCCGCAGCGUAUGACUAUCGGUCAUUUCGUUCUGUCGUUUGGUAGUUUAACAAUCUUGGUGUGAAGCACGCUUUAGGCACGCGCUUACUGCAGAAAUGUCUGAGACAUUCCCCUCCGGGGGUAGUAUGCACGCAAGUGUGAAACUUGAAGGAAUUGACGGAAGGGCACCACAAGAACGCGUGGAGCAUGUGGCUUAAUUUGACUCAACGCGGGAAAUCUUACCGGGUCCGGACACACUGAGGAUUGACAGGCAAUAUUAAAUACUACUAACUAUACUCGUAUAUGUCUGUUGUAUUUAUGUUAAAUAUGCUAGUCCUUUCAUGAUUAUGUGAUAGGUGGUGCAUGGCCGUUCUUAGUUCGUGGAGUGAUCUGUCUGCUUAAUUGCGUUUCACUAAGGGCCUAUACAUUUACGUGUGUUGCGGCACUUUGACCCCUCUUAUUCACGUAAGAGCGCGUGUCUUAGUUUUUGCUUAGCUCGCACAAUUAGGUCCUGAAAGCAACGAACGUGACCGCAACCUCUUGUUGCCUUUUGAUACCAACGGUGCAUUUUGUUCACAUUCACUUUCGCUUGCGUUUGUGUAUUGUGUAUAAUUGUGCUGCAAAAAGGCUUUCUAAACUAGAGGGACCGCUGUUACUUUCUUAAACCAGAGGAAGGUUGCGGCAAUAACAGGUCUGUGAUGCCCUUAGAUGUUCCGGGCUGCACACGUGCUACAAUGAUUAUUGCAGUGAGCAUCUCAUUUUUGAUACACCGCAUGCGCGGGCCGCAUUUAUUUCAGUUCCAUCAUUUGGGUUCUGUUUUAAAGUGUGUUUUUGCUCUGCGCGCGGUAAAGCUUACUGCGACAGUAAGUGGGUAAUCAAUUAGAAGUAAUGAUUUCCUUAUUUUUAUAGCACACAUAUAUAUGGCAUUUAUGCCCGGGUUGUACUUUGUUGCAGCUUCUGUGCGUAUAGAUGUUGAAUACACACUUUUUGUGUUAUUCAUUACCAUAUGUGCAAUUGUCAAUUCAUGGUGGGGACAGACCAUUGUUAAUUGUUGGUCUCGGUCUUAACUAGGAAUGCCUUGUACGGGUCUUUGGUUCAACAAACCACCCGGAAUACGUCCCUGCCCUUUGUACACACCGCCCGUCGCUCUUACCGAUGGACUUCUCUGUGAGUUUGAGGGACUGGGAACGCACAUAUUUGCUUUAUUGCAUUUUUUGCACGCCUAUGGAAACUUAAACGAACAGUGUGGUCUAAAGGAAAGAGAAGUCGUAACAAGGCAUCGGUAGGUGAACCUGCAGAAGGAUCA